UACAAUUAUGAUUUUACUUUAAACCCAAAACGAAAUUAUAGCCUAUACAACAGUUAAUGCCACAAAUGACAGUAAACAAAUGCAUAACUACGUCAAUCAUGAAAGAAAAUGUAUUCAAGUUGCAAUGAUUCCUUUCUAUCGUUGAUUAGGCUACUGUUUUGUAACAACUUCAAUGUAUGAUUAAAACUUCACCAAUAGUUUUUUAUUUAUUAUUGAAGGUCAAUAGGCGGUGUUUGGUGCAGCUUAAUUUACUAUAAAGUAGGUCUACUUUUCUAAUUUCCUAAAAGUCUGAACCGCACUGUGUCCAACGUGGUCUCAGAGCAUUCUGUAUUAUUCUGUACGUAAACGCAAGACAUGUUACAUUUCGUAUGGGAAGUAUUAAUUUGUGGAUGUCCAUCAUCCAUUUCGUAUGAUAUGUUACAAAUUACUAUUAAUAUGACAUAUUACAAAUUGCAAUUUGUACCAUAUUGUAAUGAAACAGGCAGGGCGCAGGUCUCGAACACUCGACCUUCUAACCCGAAGUCCAGCUCGCUAUUGACUGUGCCACAAAAGCAUGCUUAAGCGGCAGAGUCGAUAUCCACGCUUAUAAACCCAGGGUCGUUACACUAUUCCCUUCUUUCAAAGAGCGCGUCCUCGCACUAGCUUGCGACUCUACGUCUUACAGGAACUCUCACCGGCCAAGCACACGCACUGUCGUGGAUGCAAGGUCCGACCACUUCUGACACCAAUGUAAUGAAACAGGCAGCGCGCAGGUCUCGAACCCUCGUCCUUCGAGUCCGAAAUCCAGCACGCUAUCGACUGUGCCACAAAAGCAUGCUCAAGCGGCAGAGUCGAUAUCCGCGCUUAUUAACCCAGUGUCAUUACAAUAUGUUACAAAUUGUGAUUCGUACAAUAUGUUCUGAAUUUCCAAAACAUAUAUGUUACACAAUAAAUUGAAUUUUUAACAUUAGCUAGCUCUAGGGGUUAAGGUUGAAAGUUAGGUUAAAGGGUUAGGGAAGAGUUAUGUUAGGGGAAGGGUUCGCUAAAAGUGUUAAGGUUAGGGGAAGUUACUAAUUAGCUAAAAUGCUAAAGUUGUCCGUGAUGAGAUUCGAACACAUUCACAUUAUAUUCCUGACCAACCACCCUCCUUUAGUUUUUUUCUGGUUGAGGUUAUUCAUAGUGCAAGAAAGUGCAUAAAUGAAAAGGGAAAACAAAACACAAAAGUUUCGGCCUUUGGCCAUUCUCAGUGUAAAUCUACAUUUAAUUUAUUUGGGAACCAUGAUGUUCUAAUAAUCGUCUUUAUUUUGCAUUCAAGUCUCCGUUUUGGAUUUAUUCCUUUUUUCGACAGUGCGCGGGUCUCCAUCUCUUUCACUAUACCAAACGUAACAUAUCAUAUUGAUUUGAGUGACCCAGAUUUACAUUUACUAUGUUACGUCUAGUCUAUGAGACCAGUCUGCUGUGUCAUAUUCUUGCCUCAUAGCAGGAGAGAAUGUAGUGAAAUUCCUGUCAUCUUGUACAUGUGACUCACUGGACUCGCGUUUUCACAGAACUACAUACCACACAGUGCUACCUGUCUUGUAGGCUCAGUAGUCUAAACCAAUGAUUUAUAUAAACCCUGGAUUGCUGAUGCUAUCUAUUGGUCAAUGAAAGACUUUGAAGCCAUAUUGGCACUCUUCAGAAAAGCAGUAGUUCCAUAGUUAUGAAUAUAAUUCUUCAGUAUUUCAUUUAAAUCUUUCAAGGACAAAAUUUCAUGUAUUUAAGUAUUUUGUAGCAGUGGGGACAGUGACAUAUUAGACACAUAAAAUUCUACUUGAAGGAAAAUGUUUUUAUAUAUUUUCAUUUUUUAUUUGUAUGCUUAGCUCACAUAAUAUGAUUCAAAACUAUGCAUUAAGGUGUCUGUAAUAGAGUUAACGUGGCAAAAACAAAUAAAUGCUUUAUAAAAUAUUCCAAAAUAUUUGUAUCUUCAAAACAGCGCCCCUGUUUUUCAUUAGUCUAACCCGUCAUAGAGCUCACCAGUUUGUAAUAAUAAACAACAAAAAUAAAGUCUGAGGUAACACAGGCUUAAGAGAUCUUACAUAUUUUGUUCUAUAUACAUAUAUGUACAUAUUCUCAUUCGCCCCUUUAGAUUUGUGUGUAUUAGGUAGUUGUUGGGAAUUGUUAGAUUACUUGUUAGAUUUGUGUGUAUUAGGUAGUUGUUGGGAAUUGUUCAAUUACUUGUUAGAUAUUACUGCACCGUUGGAACUACAAGCACAAGCAUUUCGCUACACUCGCAUUAACAUCUGCUAACCAUGUGUAUGUGACAAAUAAAAUUUGAUUUGAUUUAUUCGUCAGUUAACAUGACCUUUAUGAAUGUAUUUGUUUAUUUUCCCAUUGAAUCAUUACUAUUGCUCUCUAUAGACUACCAUAUAAGUAUUCACUACAAAAAAUGAAACCGACCAAUUAGACUUGUUUGGCAGUCUGUACCUUGUAGACUCUCGUUUUCAUCCUAAUCAAAAGAAUGGCAUUCGCUGAAUUGAACCAAUGUCCAGGAAUCCUUUGGUUGGCACUUGGCAGGAUGAUUUUAGUCUUUGACGCUGCAGUGGUGGAUGUUAAAUGUUGCAUUAAUAAACUCUUGAUGAUGACAUAAUCCUCAUACACUCUAUGGUAUUCUAGACUACAUCUGGUGAAUUAAUCCAGCACACUUUCAGUUUUAGUAAUGUAUGACACUACCGGUCUAUGAAUGUAAUGAUGGCUUAUGAUUACAUGUAGGCCAGGGGUCCACAAUUACAUUCAGCUGUGGACCGAUUUUUGAUAGAUAGGUAAAUAGAAAAAAUGCAGACAUUGAAUAUCCCUUUGAACAAGGUGAAGUUAUUAAUUACACUUUUGAUUGUGUAUCAAUACACCCAGUCACAACAAAGAUACAGGCGUCCUUCCUAACUCAGUUGCCGUAGAAGAAGGAAACCAUUCAGGGAUUUCACCAUGAGGCCACAAUGGUGACUUUCAAAGAGUUUCUCCUAUCACAGAAAACUGAGGAUGGAUCAACAACAAUAUAGUUACUCCACAAUAUAAGCCUAAAUGGCAGAGUGAAAAGAAGGAAGCCUGUACAGAAUAAUAAAUAUUCCAAAACAUGCAUACCACUCUUCAUAUUUUCAAGCAUGGUGGUGGCUGCAACAUAUUAUGGGUAUACUUGUCACCGGCAAGGACUAGGGAGUUUUUUAGGAUAAAAAGAAACAGAAUGGAGCUAAGCAAAGGCAAAAUCCUAAAGGAAACCUGGUUCAGUCUGCUUUCCAACAGACACUGGGAGACGAAUGUACCUUUCAGCAGGACAAUAACCUAAAACACAAGGCCAAAUAUACACUGGAGUUGCUUACCAAGAUGACAUUGAAUGUUCCUGAGUGGCCUAGUUACAGUUUUGACUUAAAUCGGCUUGAAAAUAUAUGGCAAGACUUGAAAAUGCCUGUCUAGCAAUGAUCAACAACCAUCUUGACAGACCUUGAAGAAUAACAAAAAGAAUAACUCUUAGAGACUUACCCAGAAAGACUCACAGCUGUAAUUGCUGCCAAAGGUGAUUCUAAUGUAUUGACUCAAGGAUGUGAAUACUUAUGAUAUUUCUGUAUUUAAUUUCCAAUAAAUAUACUAAAAUGUCUUAAAAGAUGUUUUCACCUUGUCAUUAUGGGGUAUUGUGUGUAGAUGGGUAAGAAAACAUUUUUUAAAUCAUUUUUUAAUUCAGGCUGUAACGAAACAAAAUGUGAAAUAAGCCAAGGGGUAUGAAUACUUUCUGAAGGCACUGUAUGUGCCUCUAUUGAUGCGUGAGAAUACUUGGGAACAGAUUUCCUAAAUGAAAAUCAAUUUGAGAUGAUUUCCUGGUGAUUUUAGACUUUUAUCUUCCCCAAUAGGCGGCAAUUUAAAAAAUAUAAAUAUUUUUCUUUGCUCAGAAAACUUGGGCCAAAUAAAAUCACCUGCAGGCCAAUUUUUUUAUAUGUAUUCUUUUGGGCUCCCGAGUGGCGCAGAGGUCUAAGGCACUGCAUCUCAGUGCUAAAGGCGUCACUACAGACCCUGGUUCGAUUCCAGGCUGUAUCACAACCGGCUGUGAUUGGGAGUCCCAUAGGGUGGCACACAAUUGGCCCAGCGUCGUCCGGGUUAGGGCUUGGCCGGGGUAUGCCGUCAUUGUAAAUAAAAAUGUGUUUCUUUAAUGACUUGCCUAGUUAAAUAAAGGUUAAAUAAAAUAAGAAAUGAAUAGUAUAAUAUGAGGAUAUGGGCAUAAUCCAGCUCAGAUACUCUUUUCCCUUUAUUUAUCUCUCUCCCAGGUCUAGCACAUCAAGCACUUUCUUGACCCUAAACCAGAACCAAGUCACAUUGAAAGAAGUCUAACCAGAGAUAGGGGUUAGGUUGAGGUCAGGCGUUAAGAGAGGGUGGACUGUGUGUGUGAGUGAGUGGGUUGGGGUAGUACCAGUGGCGUGAUUAGGUCUGGGCUUCCGGGGCCUUAGCCAGACUGAAAUGUGACUGCGUCACAACGUAAAUGAAGGUUGGGUUUGUUUCAAUCCAGCCCACAGUUGGCAGGACACAAGUAAAAAUACAUUCGGAGUGCAGCUGUCACAUCAUGACCAUAGAGAGCCCUUAUUUUCUAUGGUAGAGUAGGUCAGGGCGUGACUGGGGGUUUUCUAGUUAUUAUUUUCUAUGUGGGGUUCUAUUUUAGUUUUUCUAUGUUGGUGUUUGGUAUGAUUCCCAAUUAGAGGCAGCUGGCUAUCGUUGUCUCUAAUUGGGGAUCAUAUUUAAGUAGCAUUUUUUCCACUUGUGUUUUAUGGGAUAUUGUUUUGAGUUAGUGUAUGUUACACCUCUUAGUUACGUUUCGUUGUUUGUUUCGUUCUAGCUUUAUUGUUUUGUGCGUUUCCCUAAAUAAAGAUGUGGAACCCAGAUCACAAUGCACGUUGGUUUGAGUAUGCUUCAAACAAUCGUGACAGAAUAUCCCAUCAAACCAGGACCAAGCAGCUUGCCCAAAGAGGGAAGGAUUUCUGGACAUGGGAAUAAGUGAUGGGGAGAUGCGAAACCCUUCCUUGGAGACAGACGGAAGGAGAUUAUGGAGGACAGGGAUGACAACAGGGUUCGCGCCUACAGAAAGCCCAAGGACAACCCCAAGUGUUAUUUUUGGGGGGUGGACAUGGAUCUGGCGGCUGAGCAGAGGAAAGAGCCAGAGACUGUCAGGGAGGCAAUGGCGAAGUUGGGAGAGAGUGAGAUGAGAGAGAUGUUGUGCAAGUGUGUUCUGCUCAACAUCCGACCAGAGGAUCCGGUUAGCAGUCUGGUGCAACCUGUGCCGGUUCCACGCUUCUGGCCUCAAGUGCACCUCUCCAGUCUGGUGCGUCAUGUGUCUCCUCCUCGCACUCUCCCUGAAGUGCGUGUCCCCAGUCUGGUACGUCCUGUGCCUGCUCCUCGCACUCUCCCUGAAGUGCGUGCCCCCAGUCCGGUACGUCCUGUGCCUGCUCCUCGCACUCUCCCUCAAGUGCGCUUUCCAGUCAGGUACGUCCUGUGCCUGCUCUUCGCACUCUCCCUGAGGUGCGUGUCACCAGUCCGGUGCCACCUGUGCUGGCCCCACGCAUCAGUCCUCCAGUGCGCCUUCCCAGUCCGGUGCGUCCUGUGCCUGCUCCUCGCACUCUCCCUGAGGUGCGUGUCACCAGUCCGGUGUCACCUGUGCCGGCCCCACGCAUCAGGCCUCCAGUACACCUUCCCAGUCCAGAGCUUCAGGCGACGGUCCCCAGUCCAGAGCUUCCGGCGACGGUUCACAGUCCGGAACCUCCAACGACAGUCCAUGGUCAGUAAUCUCCUGAGACGGUCCACGGUCCGGAACCUCCUGAGACGGUCCACGGUCCGGAACCUCCUGAGACGGUCCACAGUCCGGAACCUCCUGGGACGGUCAACAGUCCGGAACCUCCAGCUCCAUGGCCGGAGCCUUCCCCUGCGCCGAUGCCCAGUCUAAGCACGGCGUCCAGUCCAGCUCCAAGGCCAGAGUCUUCUUCUGCGUUGGUGCCCAGUCCAGGCACAGCGUCCAGUCCCGCUCUAUGGCGGGAGCCUGCGCUGAUGCCCAGUCCAGGCACGGCGUCCAGUCCAGCUCCAUGGCCGGUGCCUUCCUCUGCACUGAUGUCCAGUCCAGAUCUGGUGUCCAGUCCCGCUCCAUGGCAGGAGCCUUCCUUGAUACCGAGGUCCAGCCCAGGCACAGUGUUCAGCCCGGGUCCAUGGCUGGAUCCACGGGAUGAGCGGGUUCUUCGGCCCGCACCAGAGCCGCCACCAAAGAUGGUGGAUUCGCAAGCUGAGUGGGUUCUUCGUCCUGCACCAGAGCCGCCCCCGAUUCUGACGGAUGAGCGGGUACUUCACCCGGCACCAGAGCCAACACUAGACCCCCCCCUAUCCCUCCCUUUUGGUUUCAGGUUUUGCGGCCAGAGUCCGCACCUUUGGGCAGGGGUACCCUCAUGUCCUGACCAUAGAGAGCCCUUAUUUUCUAUGGUAGAGUAGGUCAGGGCGUGACUGGGGGUUGUCUAGUUAUUAUUUUCUAUGUGGGGUUCUAGUUUAGUUUUUCUAUGUUGGUGUUUGGUAUGAUUCCCAAUUAGAGGCCGCUGGCUAUCGUUGUCUCUAAUUGGGGAUCAUAUUUAAGUAGCAUUUUUUCCACCUGUGUUUUAUGGGAUAUUGUUUUGAGUUUGUGUAUGUUACACCUCUUAGUUAUGUUUCGUUGUUGGUUCGUUGUUGCUUUAUUGUUUUGUGUGUCUCACUAAAUAAAGAUGUGGAACCCAGAUCACGCUGCACGUUGGUCCGAGUAUGCUUCAAACGAUCGUGACAGCAGCUGCAUGCGACCCGAUCAUAAUGCCUGUGAUAGGAAGAGGAGGACAGAUGAGAACAGCAGGCCAGUGGAGCAAUUAGAACAGAAGCAGCCAGUGGCAAAUGGAAGGAAGACGCUUGAAGGGAACACAGAAGAAGCUUGUGACAGCUGAGGUCAGAUGACGGGAAUGCUCAAACAAUGGACAUAAUGGAUGAAAAG